GGUAAUUGUUCCCGGUGCAAGCGUUAAUCGGAAUUACUGGGCGUAAAGCGCACGCAGGCGUGGUGCAAGCGUUAAUGUGAAAUCCCCGGGCUCAACCUGGGAACUGCAUUCGAAACUGGCAGGCUGGAGUCUUGUAGAGGGGGGUAGAAUUCCAGGUGUAGCGGUGAAAUGCGUAGAGAUCUGGAGGAAUACCGGUGGCGAAGGCGGCCCCCUGGACAAAGACUGACGCUCAGGUGCGAAAGCGUGGGGAGCAAACAGGAUUAGAUACCCUGGUAGUCCACGCUGUAAACGAUGUCGACUAUGGAGGUUGUUCCCUUGUACCGGUGGCGAGGAGCUAACGCGUAAAUUACUGGGCGUAAU
rnacentral:rRNA from 1 species